CAGAGACGCACACCACACAUAGACACAUACUACAAACACUGCACACAGACACCCACACUGCACAUGUGUGCACACACACACACCACCACACCUACACAAAUACCACAUAGACACACACCCCACCACACCUACACACACACACCAAAUACACACACACCCCACCACACCUGCACACACAUUACACACCAUACACAGACACCCCAACACACCUACACACACACCACAGACACACUCUUACACCCCACCACACCUACACACGCAACAUAUACAGACACACACCCCACCACACCUACACACACACCAAAUACAGACACACAUACCCCACCACACCUGCACACAUUACACACCACACACAGACACACCUCAACACACCUAUACACACACCACACACACACUCAUACCCCCACCACACCCACACACACACUACAGACUCACACACACCUCACCACACCGAUACCCACACACACCACAUACACACACCCCACACACAGACUCAUAUACCCCACCACACCUACACACACACCCCCAUCACACCUACACACACACAUACACAGACACACACACCCCACACCACACUACAACUACACACACACACCACACAGACACACACACACACCACACCUACACACACACACACCCCACCAUGCCAACACACCACACACAGACACAUGCACAUGUGAGUGUAUGCGUGCACACACCCCACCACACCUACAAAUACCACACCACACCUACACACAAAGCCUUCAUAAAAAUAAGAGCCGGGCCGGGCGUGGUGGCUCACACCUGUAAUUCCAGCACUUUGGGAGGCCGAGGCGGGCGGAUCACCUGAGGUUGGGAGUUCAAGACCAGCCUGAUCAACAUGGAGAAACCCCGUCUCUACUAAAAAUACAAAAUUGACCAGGCAUGGUGGCGCAUGCCUGUAAUCCCAGCUACUCGGGAGGCUGAGGCAGGAGAAUGGCAUGAACUCGGGAGGCGGAGCUUGCAGUGAGCCGAGAUUGUGCCACUGCACUCCAGCCUGGGUGACAGAGCGAGACUCCGUCUCAAAAAAAUUAAAAAAAAAAAAUAAGAGAGCCAGGUGAGAACCCCUUCUCCCUCGCAUAACUGGCUGAGGAGAGUCAGACACACAGGCUGCUCUUCUGGGCGUCCCUGGAGGCCGACUACACCAUCAUGCAUGGCAGCUGGGGAGGGGGGCCUCUGGGGGGAGGGUGUUCUAUGGGUCUCAAGGGAACACAGGGCACUGAGUGAUUCUGGAUGGGCUUCUGACCUGGGGACAAUUUAAACAGCAUUACAACCGACAUUUUGGUUUUCUUGGGGAUUUUAUAGGCCAGGUACAAAGCAGAAAGUGCAUAGAAGAUGUGAUCCACUUUGCCUGGGAAGAGAAGCUCUUUCUCCUGGCUGAUGAGGUGUACCAGGACAACGUGUACUCUCCAGAUUGCAGAUUCCACUCCUUCAAGAAGGUGCUGUACGAGAUGGGGCCCGAGUACUCCAGCAACGUGGAGCUCGCCUCCUUCCACUCCACCUCCAAGGGCUACAUGGGCGAGUGUGGUUACAGAGGAGGCUACAUGGAGGUGAUCAACCUGCACCCUGAGAUCAAGGGCCAGCUGGUGAAGCUGCUGUCGGUGCGCCUGUGCCCCCCAGUGUCUGGGCAGGCCGCCAUGGACAUUGUCGUGAACCCCCCGGUGGCAGGAGAGGAGUCCUUUGAGCAAUUCAGCCGAGAGAAGGAGUCAGUCCUGGGUAAUCUGGCCAGAAAAGCAAAGCUGACGGAAGACCUGUUUAACCAAGUCCCAGGAAUUCACUGCAACCCCUUGCAGGGGGCCAUGUACGCCUUCCCUCGGAUCUUCAUUCCUGCCAAAGCUGUGGAGGCUGCUCAGGCCCAUCAAAUGGCUCCAGACAUGUUCUACUGCAUGAAGCUCCUGGAGGAGACUGGCAUCUGUGUCGUGCCCGGCAGUGGUUUUGGGCAGAGGGAAGGCACUUACCACUUCAGGAUGACUAUCCUCCCUCCAGUGGAGAAGCUGAAAACGGUGCUGCAGAAGGUGAAAGACUUCCACAUCAACUUCCUGGAGAAGUACGCGUGAGGACGCCUGA
rnacentral:sRNA from 1 species